rnacentral:rRNA from 1 species
AUUGAACGCUGGCGGCAUGCUUUACACAUGCAAGUCGAACGGCAGCGCGGGCUUCGGCCUGGCGGCGAGUGGCGAACGGGUGAGUAAUACAUCGGAACGUGCCCAGUAGUGGGGGAUAGCUCGGCGAAAGCCGGAUUAAUACCGCAUACGACCUGAGGGUGAAAGCGGGGGAUCUUCGGACCUCGCGCUAUUGGAGCGGCCGAUGGCAGAUUAGCUAGUUGGAGGGGUAAAGGCCUACCAAGGCGACGAUCUGUAGCUGGUCUGAGAGGACGACCAGCCACACUGGGACUGAGACACGGCCCAGACUCCUACGGGAGGCAGCAGUGGGGAAUUUUGGACAAUGGGCGAAAGCCUGAUCCAGCAAUGCCGCGUGUGUGAUGAAGGCCUUCGGGUUGUAAAGCACUUUUGGCGGGAACGAAAAGGACUGUGCCAAUACCACGGUUCGAUGACGGUACCCGCAGAAUAAGCACCGGCUAACUACGUG